rnacentral:misc_RNA from 1 species
GAUGGAAAAUCUUGAUUUUCCAUCAUUAAGCAUCACUCCCCUGUCAGUGUUAAUCCUUAAGAGGCUACACAUAUUGCUUUCUUCAGAUUUACAGUGAGCACAAUCUUUACAUUCCCCUGUAAAGACAGGAAGAACAUGGUCUCCUGGUGCAAGGUCUGUUACUCCCUCUCCAACACUCUCCACAAUCCCUGCUGCUUCAUGUCCAAGAAUUCGAGGAAAGACUGGAUUUUGACCCUUAGCUUCCCAGAAGUAUACAUCAGUAUGACAGAGUGAAGUAUAGAGGAUCUUAAGACGAACUUCCAUUUUCUGUGGAGGAGCAACAUCUACUUCCUCCAUCACUAAUGGCUUACCAGCUUCCCAUGCCACAGCAGCUUUGCAACGAAUGACUUGGCCUACAGUAGUCGACAUCUUCUUGAUUUUUUUUUAGUGAUCACUAAAUAUGAAAACUUUUUAUAGAACACAAAUUUUGGUUGUUUACUCAGUUGAGGCAGUGGAUAUUUAUAAUUGGGAAAGGUGAAAAAACAAUAGGCCACAGUAAAACCAUUUACAUGUUUUGGUCACUGGAUUUUUCAAAACAGGUUUUUUA